CUCUUGAACUUGGAUAGAACAUUCCUGGAAGUUGUCAUUUGGGAAUUUAAUGAUCUGUGGAUUCUUUCACAUCUAUUUUACCCUCUUGUUCAAGAAUAUUAGGUUGUCACUGACCAUGAGGACUCUCUACCUGAUGUAUAUGGUGCUUUUUUUGGUAUUUCCCUAUGCUGUCAAAGGGAUGUUGAAACAUAGAGGCUAUGCUCAAUGUGAAUCGGGGGGUGGCCGUUGUUUCAUUCAUUGUCGAAGACCAUAUACACAAUCUGGCUUCUGUGAUGGUCCACAUGUUAAAUGCUGCAAACGUUAGCAAACAGAGACAGAAAAGAAGAGUGCGUCCAGACUCUGUGGUAUAAACGAGUGAGAGUAUUAAAUAGGAGAGAAGUUUAAAUGCAUGGAAUAUGCUAUGCUUAUAUUAAUAAAGGAAAAUUCAUUUGGAAACUUGGUUUUCUA
ensembl:lncRNA